rnacentral:rRNA from 1 species
UCCUACGGGAGGCAGCAGUAGGGAAUCUUCCACAAUGGACGAAAGUCUGAUGGAGCAACGCCGCGUGAGUGAAGAAGGGUUUCGGCUCGUAAAACUCUGUUGUUAAAGAAGAACAUAUCUGAGAGUAACUGUUCAGGUAUUGACGGUAUUUAACCGGAAAGCCACGGCUAACUACGUGCCAGCAGCCGCGGUAAUA